GCGGUAUUCCAGUCUCAAAGGCAUGAAGUAUGGUGCGGUAAAAAGCUCGUAGUGGAUCUGUCCAUAGGACGUGGUCCACCUUCGGGUGCGUACUUCGCUCCUAGGCUUUUGCUGGUUUUCCCGUCGUAGCCUUCGCUGGUUGCGGCGGGUGGCUGGCGAGUUUACUUUGAGAAAAUCAGAGUGCUCAAUACAGGUGUCUAGCUUGAAUGAUUGUGCAUGGAAUAAUAGAAAAGGAUUUCGGUCCUCUUUUAUUGGUUUUGUGGACUGAGAUAAUGGUUAACAGGGACGAACGGGGGCAUUCGUAUCGCUGCGUGAGAGGUGAAAUUCUUGGACCGUAGCGAGACGCCCUACUGCGUAAAGCGAAUCGGGGGCGAAAAAUGC
rnacentral:rRNA from 1 species